rnacentral:lncRNA from 1 species
GGUGAGCACAAUUAUGAAGCAUUUCCAUUGCUUUAGGAUCCAUUUGAUUGAUGGAAAGUGAAGAGGGAAGAGGCAUUUCCUGAAAAGUGAAGAAAGAGCUCUUUGUUUGAUUGAAAUUUUAAGAGGAGAGGUUGUGAAAAAAGUACUUUCCAUAUUUUAUGAAAAGUAAAAGUGAUAGUACUUUUUUCUUUCCUAAAAUAUCCUUUUAAGGUUCAUAAUUAAAAUUUAAUAAAAUAUCAA